AUGGCCGAGCAGCCUCAGCCACAGCAGAUGAAAACUUCCUUCCUUUUCAUCCAGCUGCAGCCCCCACCAACCCGAGCUACCCAAACUCUCCCCGCCCCUUCUCCAGCAACCGCAGUCGCAACAGCAGCCCCAGGGGGCCUGGAGGAGGGACACAUUUUCCCAAGUCCCAGAACAAGCUUCUUCUCCGCUCCCUGGAACUUCAGAUGUACGCAGGGCUUAGCUCCAUCGCCUUCCAGUCUGCUGCCCGGGGAAGGCCCUGGAACACUGAGACCAGCUGCUUUCAAUUGCUACUCACUGAAGGAAAAGAAGGAAGAAACAGAGAAAUCUCAGAAUCUACAUGUAAAAAGGAAUGGGGUUUGUGGAUCCCCACAUAGUAGGCGUUGUCUGGUCCCUGCUUCUAGGGAACUUGGCCUACCACAACUGCCUUGUAGGCUUGCUAGCCUAGCUCCUACACUGAAUGAUGGAAACAGCAGUCCUUCCAUAGGCUGGAAGCACCGGCCAGCCAUUUCUGCCCACGAGGACCUGUGGGAUAUGGACCCAGAAGCCAGGAAUGCCAUCGAAUUCUCAGUUCCACAAAGCACCCUGUCCUAUGCAACUGACAGGGGCAAAAGGGCACUCCAGAGGAGAGGGACUGUAAACCAAGAGGUACUCCCAAAGAACUGUGAAGAAGACAUAGGUACCACAGUGCUGGCAACAAGGGCACAGCUCUUCAGAUAUUGCCCCACCAUUCAGAUCAGCCAGAGUUGCCUGGCCCCACCUGCUGCUGUGCCUCUCAAGAAAUUGGGAUUGGAAUUUCUAGUUUCAGAUAUGAGAAUUAAGGUGUGG
rnacentral:lncRNA from 1 species